AGACAUGAGAUCACCCACCUGGUCUCCCUCACAAUGCAGCCAGGAGGACAGAUACCAUAGCAACAACCCUAGCAACAAUGACAGCAGACAACCUCUUGGCCACAGAGCCAUGGGAGCUUUGUCAACAAUGACGAACCCCAUUUGGAGGAAGAGCUUCUGGGGCCAGGGCACCCACAAUGCAUAGGAUGGCAUCUGCCCAUGCACAGGGGGAGCCCAUUAGCCAAGUCCAGUGUUCCACUUCAACAUCAAAGCAAAACAACCAAUGGAAAAGGACAGGAGAGCUUUGAAAUCCCUUUGAUACUGAAGCCAAUUAAGUUUAACGCCCUGCAGCCAGCCGUGGCAGUCCAGGUACAACUGUGCUGUCUGCUUGCUGACUGACAGUCACCAACCUCCAGCUGCAGAGGCCAAGAGAAGCCACAGCCAGCAGCUGAACCGCUGCUACUGUGGAGGUCCCAGAGCCCUUGCCACCCACUGAGUGCCCACAACCUCCAGAAUGACCUGCUCAAGAUCACACAGCUGCCAAUGCAAAGAGUGCACCAAGCCCAGUUCCUAGAGUGCACGCGCAUGCUGUUUGGCACAGGACUCCAAAUAGCCUCUGGGUGAAUUCCACAUCUUCCCUGUGGUAGGUGGGAAGCCAAGGCACAGGGAGCUCCAAGACCGGCCCGGGAUGUUCAGGUUGAACUGCACCAUCAUCACAGACUGAAACAGCAGGAUACUAGCACUUUGGCGUGAUUGGCAUCUGUAACCUAUCAUCAGAGUACCCACUCCUAGACUGUGGAGUAUCAGGCACUAUGCUAAGGACUGGGGAGUUCUCACAACCAGCCUAGGAGAUAUGCUCAUGUAGGCGGGAUCCCCAGCUGCCAAGAAGCCCCCAGUGCAAGCUGCAGAUGAAUGGAGGAAAAAGACCUGGAGUCCAGGACUGAGGGAGGGAUGAGCAGGGCUAGGGCAGGGCUACAGAGGGUGGGAAGGCCUGCCUCACAAUCUCCUGACCCCUCACAAUCACCAGGACCGGCUGGGUGAGUGCCACCCCUUGCCCUGUGACGGUGCUAAGUCUGCCCACCCAGAUCUUCCGAGACCACAUCCAGAGCCCCCUCCAGAAACAGGUAUCUGGUGACCCCAACCCCACCAGUCCAUGGAGGGCAAGAAGAGAAAGGGACGGGAGCAGCAAAACCCAGAUUCUUUCCUGAGGUCCAAUUAACCACAGCCAGCGUCACUCGCUGGCCUGCAUGGGACAGCCUGCAGCUGCCACUGGCCCUGAGUCCCUCACACACAGACCCCAGUCAGAUGGCCCUUCCAAAGGCCCAACACCACAAGACAAGUGGGACCCAGAGAAGCAGCCUAGAAUCUGAGAGAUAACUGGAUGCAGAGUUGAAGGCCUGCUACUAGAAGACACACGCCUGAGUGCUGCAGCCGAGUCAGCACCUGAGACACACACAGAAGUGUACCUCUGGGAGCAUCCUGCUGUCCUCGAGGACUCACUCCUACCUUCCUCCACUUCUUGUCUGCUGGUUACGGGCUACGAUAGUGCAGCCACCCCAUGCCCAUGAGAGAAAAUCCACGGCACCACAAAGAGGAGGAGAAGGUCUGUAUCCUCCUCAGGUGGAGUCCCUGAUCACUCUCCAUCUAAAGGAAGAUUCCCUGGCUAGCGGCUACUGAACUUCUCCCUGGAUCUCUCCAGUGGCUCAUCAGGCUCAGAUCUGGGUCAACAGGCAGAUCCUCUGGGGACACCUGCAGCCCUUCCCUCCACACCUGCUCAUGGUGCUGCUUUACUCACACCUCCCAUCCACGCAAAAUAAAGCAAUCAGUGGCACAAAUAUUUUAUCUAGUUUGCCGCACACUUAUUUUCUUUGAGGUGAA